rnacentral:lncRNA from 1 species
AUCAUUGAAAAUGAUAAUUCGAUCAUUAUCAUUAAGAAUGAUGAUCCACUGAUCUAUUCGAAAGCUGUCAUGAGUAGAGACUCAGACAGAUGACUGAAAGUCAAAAAAUCUGAGAUGGACUUGAUGUAUCCUAACCAAGUAUGGACAUUGGUUGAUGCGUCUGAGGAUGUGACCCCAAUAGGGUGCAAGUGGGUCUUCAAGAAUAAGAUCAGAGUAGAUGGCC